UACGUAGGGUGCGAGCGUUAAUCGGAAUUACUGGGCGUAAAGCGUGUGCAGGCGGUUUGGUAAGACAGGCGUGAAAUCCCCGGGCUUAACCUGGGAACUGCGUUUGUGACUGCCAGGCUAGAGUACGGCAGAGGGGGGUGGAAUUCCACGUGUAGCAGUGAAAUGCGUAGAGAUGUGGAGGAACACCAAUGGCGAAGGCAGCCCCCUGGGUCGAUACUGACGCUCAUGCACGAAAGCGUGGGUAGCAAACAGG
rnacentral:rRNA from 1 species